rnacentral:rRNA from 1 species
AUUGAACGCUGGCGGCAGGCCUAACACAUGCAAGUCGAGCGGAUGAAGGGAGCUUGCUCCUGUAUUCAGCGGCGGACGGGUGAGUAAUGCCCAGGAAUCUGCCUGGUAGUGGGGGAUAACGUCCGGAAACGGGCGCUAAUACCGCAUACGUCCUGAGGGAGAAAGUGGGGGAUCUUCGGACCUCACGCUAUCAGCUGAGCCUAGGUCGGAUUAGCUAGUUGGUGGGGUAAAGGCCUACCAAGGCGACGAUCCGUAACUGGUCUGAGAGGAUGAUCAGUCACAAUGGAACUGAGACACGGUCCAGACUCCUACGGGAGGCAGCAGUGGGGAAUAUUGGACAAUGGGCGAAAGCCUGAUCCAGCCAUGCCGCGUGUGUGAAGAAGGUCUUCGGAUUGUAAAGCACUUUAAGUUGGGAGGAAGGGCAGUAAGUUAAUACCUUGCUGUUUUGACGUUACCAACAGAAUAAGCACCGGCUAACUUCGUG